rnacentral:rRNA from 1 species
GACGAACGCUGGCGGCGUGCCUAAUACAUGCAAGUCGAACGCAUUUUCUUUCACCGUAGCUUGCUACACCGAAAGAAAGUGAGUGGCGAACGGGUGAGUAACACGUGGGUAACCUGCCCAUCAGCGGGGGAUAACACUUGGAAACAGGUUCUAAUACCGCAUAAUUCCAUUUACCGCAUGGUAGAUGGAUGAAAGGCGCUUUUGCGUCACUGAUGGAUGGACCCGCGGUGCAUUAGCUAGUAGGUGGGGUAACGGCCUACCAAGGCUGCGAUGCAUAGCCGACAGCAGCGAGUGAUCGACCACACUCGGACACAGCAACAGCCCCGACGCCUACAGGAGGCAGCAGUAGGGCAUCUUAGGCAAUGGAAGCAAGACUAGCCGAGCAACGCAACGUGAGUGAAGAAGGUUUUCGGAUAGUAAUACUCUGUUGUUAGAGAAGAACAAGGAUGAGAGUGGAAAGUUCAUCCCUUGACGGAAUCUAACCAGAAGGCCACGGCUAACUACGUG